rnacentral:rRNA from 1 species
AGUGAACGCUGGCGGUAGACCUAACACAUGCAAGUCGAACGGCAGCACAGUAAGAGCUUGCUCUUACGGGUGGCGAGUGGCGGACGGGUGAGGAAUACAUCGGAAUCUACUUUUUCGUGGGGGAUAACGUAGGGAAACUUACGCUAAUACCGCAUACGACCUACGGGUGAAAGCAGGGGAUCUUCGGACCUUGCGCGAUUGAAUGAGCCGAUGUCGGAUUAGCUAGUUGGCGGGGUAAAGGCCCACCAAGGCGACGAUCCGUAGCUGGUCUGAGAGGAUGAUCAGCCACACUGGAACUGAGACACGGUCCAGACUCCUACGGGAGGCAGCAGUGGGGAAUAUUGGACAAUGGGCGUAAGCCUGAUCCAGCCAUACCGCGUGGGUGAAGAAGGCCUUCGGGUUGUAAAGCCCUUUUGUUGGGAAAGAAAAGCAGCAGGUUAAUACCCCGCUGUUCUGACGGUACCCAAAGAAUAAGCACCGGCUAACUUCGUG